rnacentral:rRNA from 1 species
UACGGAAGGCAGCAGGGGGAAUAUUGCACAAUGGGCGAAAGCCUGAUGCAGCUAUGCCGCGUGUAUGAAGAAGGCCUUAGGGUUGUAAAGUACUUUCAUCGGGGAGGAAAAAACAAAACUAAUAAUUUUAUUUCUUGACGUUACCCGAAAAAGAAGCACCGGCUAACUCCGUGCCAGCAGCCGCGGUAAUACGGAGGGUGCUAGCGUUAAUCAGAAUUACUGGGCGUAAAGAGCACGUAGGUGGUUUUUUUAAAGUCAGAUGUGAAAUCCCUGGGCUUAACCUAGGAACUGCAUUUUGAAACUGAAAUACUAGAGUAUCGUAGAGGGAGGUAGAAUUCUAGGUGUAGCGGUGAAAUGCGUAGAUAUCUGGAGGAAUACCUGUGGCGAAAGCGGCCUCCUAAACGAAUACUGACACUGAGGGUGCGAAAAGCGUGGGGAGCAAAACAGGGAUUAGAUACC